rnacentral:rRNA from 1 species
UACGGGGGGGGCAAGCGUUGUUCGGAAUUACUGGGCGUAAAGGGCUUGUAGGUGGCCAACUAAGUCAGACGUGAAAUCCCUCGGCUUAACCGGGGAACUGCGUCUGAUACUGGAUGGCUCGAGUGUGGGAGAGGGAUGCGGAAUUCCAGGUGUAGCGGUGAAAUGCGUAGAUAUCUGGAGGAACACCGGUGGCGAAGGCGGCAUCCUGGACCAUAACUGACACUGAUAAGCGGAAGCCAGGGGAGCAAACGGG